GACGAACGCUGGCGGCGUGCCUAAUACAUGCAAGUUGAGCGCUGAAGGUUGGUACUUGUACCGACUGGAUGAGCAGCGAACGGGUGGGUAACGCGUGGGGAAUCUGCCUUUGAGCGGGGGACAACAUUUGGAAACGAAUGCUAAUACCGCAUAAAAACUUUAAACACAAGUUUUAAGUUUGAAAGAUGCAAUUGCAUCACUCAAAGAUGAUCCCGCGUUGUAUUAGCUAGUUGGUGAGGUAAAGGCUCACCAAGGCGAUGAUACAUAGCCGACCUGAGAGGGUGAUCGGCCACAUUGGGACUGAGACACGGCCCAAACUCCUACGGGAGGCAGCAGUAGGGAAUCUUCGGCAAUGGACGAAAGUCUGACCGAGCAACGCCGCGUGAGUGAAGAAGGUUUUCGGAUCGUAAAACUCUGUUGGUAGAGAAGAACGUUGGUGAGAGUGGAAAACUCAUCAAGUGACGGUAACUACCCAGAAAGGGACGGCUAACUACGUG
rnacentral:rRNA from 1 species